rnacentral:rRNA from 1 species
UACGUAGGGGGCAAGCGUUGUCCGGAAUCAUUGGGCGUAAAGAGCGUGUAGGCGGUUCGGUAAGUCGGCUGUGAAAGUCCAGGGCUCAACCCUGGGAUGCCGGUCGAUACUGCCGGACUAGAGUUCGGAAGAGGCGAGUGGAAUUCCCGGUGUAGCGGUGAAAUGCGCAGAUAUCAGGAGGAACACCAAUAGCGAAGGCAGCUCGCUGGGACGUUACUGACACUGAGGCGCGAAAGCGUGGGGAGCGAACAGG